CACAGCUAUUCUUAGCCCUGACCUUUGCUAUGGGCCAAACCCGGCCCCACAACUUCCAAUAGGGGACCCGAAAAGGGGUCUGUCUGGGACCUAUAGGUUUCCCUUUUCAGGGGGGGUCCCCUAUAGGGGAUACGUGGAUUUGGAUCAAGUAGGGCCCCUUGUAGGAAUCGAGGGGCCCUAUAGGGGUCCUGUUAGGGAUUGAGGGCCUCUAUGGGGCCUCUAUGGGGUUCCUAUAGGAGAAUUAAGGCCACGGGGGGAUCCCUAUAGGGUCCCUAUAGCGGAAUGGAGCCCGGAGGGGGCACCUAUAGGGUUCCUAUGAGGGAACUGAGGCCACUGAGGAUCCCUAUAGGGUUCCUGUUUAGGAUUGAGAGCUCCUAUGGGGUUUCUAUGGAGUCCCUAUAGGAGAACAACGGCCGCUGGGUGUCCCCAUGGGGUUUCUAUAGGGCUUCUCGGGGUCUGAUGGCCCCUAUGGGGUCCCUACAGGGGACUGAAGGCCACUGGGGGUCCUUAUGGGGAUCCUAUAGAGUCCCUAUAGGAGAAUGGGGGUCAAUAAGGGCCCCUGUGGGGUUUCUAUAGGGCUUCUUGGGGUCUGAUGGCCCCUAUGGGGUCCCUAUAGGGGACUGAAGGCCACUGGGGGUCCUUAUGGGGUUCCUAUAGAGUCCCUAUAGGAGAAGGGGGGUCAAUAAGGGCCCCUGUGGGGUUUCUAUAGGGUCACUAUAAGGGAAUAAAGGCCACUUCAGGCCCUUAUGGGGUUCCUAUGGGAGAAUGGGGGUCGGUGAGGGCCCCUAUGGGGUUUCUAUAGGGUCACUAUAAUGGAAUAAAGGCCACUGGGGGUCCCUAUGGGGUUCCGAUAGGAGAAUGGGGGUCAGUGAGGGCCCCUAUGGGGUUUCUAUAGGGUCACUAUAAGGGAAUAAAGGCCACUGGGGGUCCUUAUGGGGUUCCCAUAGGAGAAUGGGGGUCAAUAAGGGCCCCUAUGGGGUUUCUAUAGGG
ensembl:lncRNA